AAGGUCCCCACUUCUGGUCUGUCCAUCUUUCUGACUCUCUUUCCCUGGGUCUCCUGGCUGAAGCUCCCUCACCUUCCUACCUGCCAUGCUGGAAUGGUACCCGCAAACUUCAUGUAAUUUACAAUCAAUAGAUGCUGACUGCUUGGACUACUGUGUUGAAAAGGAUUCUGAAGUUAAAUCCAGGCUCAGUGGGGGAAAAGAUGUAAUGAGUUAGGAUCAGCACGAGACCACACAGGAUUAAGAUGGGGUGAAUCUAAUGAGAGUGUCCUUUUAAGAGACAAAGAGGAUACAGGGAGACACAGCGGAGGCCAUGUGAGGACGGAGGCACAGAUUGGAGGGAUGCUGCCACAAACCAAGGAACUCCAAGAGCCAGGAGAAGCUGCAGGAGGCAAGGAAGGAGUCCUCUCUACAGCUUUCAGAGGAAGCGUGGACCAUCAGAGACCUUGAUUUCAGACCUCACGCCUCCAGACCCAUGAAUGGAUAAAUUUCUGUUCUUUUUACGUCACCAAGUUUGCAAGUGGUGCUUAAUUGGGGCAUACCUAGGAAACUGAAACAAACCCAAGUAAAUAUCUUACUAAUAGUGGGGUUUAGGCGAGUGAUGAGAUUUAUUAAUUUGGGGGCAUCCUAGUGCUCGUAUCUCUCUGUUCACACCUGUUCUCCCAUCAUAACCAACUGCGAUUGUGGCAGAAUUGAUUCCUUUGUUGUAUAAUGCUGAGGUACUGGUAGAGGGUGAUACUGAAGCAUUUCUUAAAUGA